UUCAUGUGUCUCUCUCAUUUACCUGCUAUCACAGGUCAGUGUGUGUGUACACCGCGAUUUUUGCUCCGUGAUUUUGUUCUAUAUUAACAAAUAUUAAGAGCGUGAUUGUUUAUAGCAUGUUAUCUUGAUGUUUUGUUACUAAUUGACAGAGAAUAUAUAAGAAAGUUUCCCCGCGAAGACGCCAUUUUGUGCCGCGCACGGCCGCAGUUGCAACUAUAAGUGAUUAAAAGAAGUAAAAUGUGUUUACAAGUCUGGUUGUUGUGAAAGUGUAUUGUUAUUAGUUUAUUCUGACAUAAUUAUUUUUGUUUUUAUUUUCUUCAUGCGCCUGUUGCCAGGUAGAUUUGGUUUUGACAUAAGCACUUUGUUUAAUUUAGUAAUUUCAGUGCCCUGCUAUGGGAGCAAGGUAGAGAUAUAGGUAUAUACAUAUAAAUAUAUAGGCAGAGGAUUUAAGCAGCGAAAUUACACUACCUGGACUAGUGUUUCUAUCAGUUUGGACUGUGGUGAAAAAAAGGUAAUAUAUAUAUUUACGGAACUGUUAUGAAUCUGAAUUUCAGAGAGUAUGUUUAAAGGGCAAAAGAUGAGACAAUUUGUGAGACUAGUUGGUUGUUUGGUGAAAAGGUAAAUCUGAACAUAACACUGAGAUUUGUUGGAUACAUUGUGCUUAUGUGAUAAUUGAUGUUUAAUAAAACCAGAGACAACCUGUUAAGGGGAAAAACGACAACCUGUUCUUCAUGUGUCUCUCUCCUUUACCUGCUAUCACAGGUCAGUGUGUGUGUACACCGCGAUUUUUGCUCCGUGAUUUUGUUCUAUAUUAACAAAUAUUAAGAGCGUGAUUGUUUAUAGCAUGUUAUCUUGAUGUUUUGUUACUAAUUGACAGAGAAUAUAUAAGAAAGUUUCCCCGCGAAGACGCCAUUUUGUGCCGCGCACGGCCGCAGUUGCAACUAUAAGUGAUUAAAAGAAGUAAAAUGUG